rnacentral:lncRNA from 10 species
GGCGUGGUGAUUGGCAGGCGCCUACGGCCCACGCAGAGAUGGCCGCGUGGGGGUCGGAGCGCCAACUUCUCAGCUCCCCUUCUCCCAUGACCCUCACCCCCCACACCAUCUUCAGCCGCCCACUGGGAGCUUCCUCCACCCCUACCCCCCAGUGCCGGCGAGGCCCCCUGGCAGAUGGAAGCUGCUGACUGAUGGGGGCUGCCGAGCGCGAGGGAGCUGAGUGAGGCCCUUGCGCCCUAGGCGGUUGCACCCCGGACCCCUGCAGCUGUGGACGCCGGAGCUGUGCGCAGUCAUCCUGAGCCAGCCCGCGGGGCCCGAUCGGAAGGGACGCCUCUCCUAAGAGCUGGCCUGGAGUCCUGGAGCCUCCAAGCGGGCCGGGCGAUGGGCUCGAGUUUCAGGCCUUGUCACUCAGCUGUCACCAAACAAACGAAGCUCUCAGAGCCCAGGAGAGGGAGAGCUACCUGCUAUUCAUGACCCCUGGAGCAGGUGAUCGCUCAUGGGAAAAACAGGUAGAAUUAAUCAUAGGACUGUUCUCUGUUUCCUCUCCUUUUUGGCAGACCUGCCCACAGUGCGAAACCUAUCAGCAAACAAAUUAACUCUUUCUUGUCACCCAGGGGAAUUAAAAAUACGGUUUUAGAAAAUAACUAAAACACACACGUUUCUCACCAAAUGACAAAAUGGGAGUUGGAAGGAACAUCUUACAUCCCGCCCUACCUUGCAAUUUCUUAGUUUGUGGGAUUCUCAUCUUGGUAGGAUUUAGAACUUGGGGAAACUGGUAGAGAAUGAGGCAUUCUCAUGUUACCUGGUCCUACUACUGGAUGGAGCCCCAGGUGUGGUCCCUGAACUCAGGUAGAUUUCAACAUCUCCUUCUUGGCUGGGUGUCAAUGCAGUUGGGCUUGAUCCUACUAAAACAGAAAAUCUCUACUCCAACAGGAAUUUCUAAGAAAUUUCUGUAAAUUAGUGUUUUGCUUCCCCCAGCCUCUUCCCUAAGUCAAUCAUGUUGAGCAUCCAUGUUGGCUUCUGUGUUAGAAAAUCCAAAUGCUUUUGAAAUCUCCCCAUUCAUUUCAAUUCUAACUUAAUCCUAACAGUUUUUUUUAAAAAAAUUACUUCUUGCCUUAGUUGAACUAAGAAAGUUCAGCAUACUGGCGUUGUUUUUGUAGAUACUGUUUAAUGGCUACUUAUUAAAUAUUACAAUACAAAUUUCAAAGUGUAUCUUUAUUUUGUUUAGUUCUACUUUUCCCUUUUUUACAUCUCUUUCCCUUCCCUAGAAAAUAGAAAGAAAGAAAGAAAAAGAGGAAAUUCAUCUGGACUUGCUUCUAAGAUAUAUUGAUACUGGAAAAGUUAGGCAAGAUGGCUUGGGAAUCUUCAACCAGACUGAUUUUUUUUUUUUUUUUAAGUAGAAAUAUGGUAAGGGGCCAGUAUUGUCAUUCUGCCUUUCAGUUCUUCCAUAAAAGUUUUGUGUGCAUGUGUGUGUGUGUGUGUGAGAGAGAGAGAGAGAGAGACAGACAGACAGACAGAGAGAGGAAUCAGGAGAUAUACUGUAUGUAAAAUAAUCCUCCUGGUCCUCUUCAUGAAGAUUUUGUCUGUUUAUUUUUAAAAUAGCCAUUGGUUCCAGAUUCCCAGAGCUGAUUUUCUUAGAUUAGCUAUUUGUACUCAGAGGUAGAGCCCUGAGCAAUAUUAUUCUUCAAUUAAAAUCAAGAACUUGACUUUAGGAGGAAGCAUGUUAUGUUUAUAUAACAUCUGCAAUGCAUAGAAAAUAUUCACCACACAUAUCUGAAGACAAAGCUUCAAUUGUUUAAAUGUUCUUUUCACUUCAUAGAUACUAAGGCAUGUUGAUCUUCUAUCGAGCUUAAUUUUUUAAAAAGCUUGUUACCUACUUUCAUCUCCAAGGCAUUUUAAAUAAAUACAGAGCUAAUGCUGUCUUCCUUGUAACUACCUCCUUGAUUUAAAGGUAAAAUUACCUUUUGUAAAGUAUUGCAGGCUGCCAUCUCACCCUCAUACAUGUGCAUUUUCUCUACAAGCACUCCACCAAGUCCCCACCACUACCAGUCCCCACCACUAUCACAGGCAAAAGUGCUGCAAAAGUUAAGAGGAAUAUGACUGCAUACAGAGUUUAAUAUAAUAGCUGUGUGAAGGCCAACACAAAAUGUCACAAUUACGUGGGUUUGGUUUGGUUUGUUGGCUCUUUUGGGGGGUGGAAGGGAAGAGGUAAGGAGGUGUUCACAAUCCCAUUGUCUUUUCCUGGUAUUUAGACUAUUUGGAAAACUGGCAACUCAAAUUAAAACUGAAUUAUUGCAAAGCAACUAAAGUUUUUCCUUGAGGGGGAAAAAAAGGAGAGUAGUUAAGUUUGUAAAAACACUUAAUAACAAGAAAAGAACAUCUAGAAGGUUGAUUUUACAGGCAUCCUGGCUGGCAUCUGCAGAUUUUCUAUCAAGGAUGUCUAUGAAAUGUUCUUUAACAUUUCAAUAUUCUUUAAGAAUCCUGACACUUAAUGGCUUAUGUCAGUAAAAAUAUGUAGUCUAGACUGUUUUUUCCCCCCUUUAAUAUCCCACAUGCAUAUCAGCUCAGGUCUUAAACCACCACCAACCCCCCACUGCUCCCCUCCCCCCACCACCAAAGAAUGUUUCUACUGUAAAUAAGCCAUGGCAUUUUAAAACCAAUAAUCAAUUUUAAAUCACUAAUUAAAAUAAAUUAUAUAGAAACUUAAAGUAAAUUUGCCUUGUGUUAAUCCACGAGUGUUUCUACUUGGGUCUACUUAUGUCAGUCUCAUAAAACACUGAUCUUCUAAGUUAGCAUGGAAAGGACGGGACCAGAUGAAGGGAGGUGGUAUACAUUUCCAUGCCUUAUUAUAGUAACUAAUUUCCAUGCCUUAUUAUAGUAAGCAAAGAGCCAGAGUCUCUCUGUCUACUUAUUUAUCUUUUUAAUGGCAACCACUAAUGGCAGUAAAGAAGGGAGAGUACCCAAUAUCACCUAACCAUACUUUAAUUACAGUUGGGUAGCCACUUCAGGUAAGCUUAAGUAUGUGUUAAAUCUGAAGGUAACUGUUUUCUCUUUCCAAGAUAAGAUUGUUUGAGUUUUGGGUUUUAGGUUUUUGCUUGUUCCUGCAUUUUUCUGUUUAAUCACAAAAAAAAAGAAUGUUAUUUCAAGAAUAUUUAACAUAUGGCAAAGGAAAACAGUGAGCACUCUCCCGAAAGGAGAGGGGAGGAGGGAAGAUUCUCAGGUAGCAAAGCGGGAGGGAGCAAACCUUAAGGUGAUGGGUUGGACUCUAUCUGCUGAGAACUGGGGUCUCAGCUGUCCAUUAACAAGUUAAAAGGCGAGAAACUUAAACUCCAUUGGAGAAGAGACAGGCGUCCACGCGCCUCAAGCAGUCUCUUUCUCUUUGUUUUUAAACGCUACUGCAGUGUUGUUUCUCGCUGUCUGAAAGGACCACAGCGUCUAAAACCCUGAUUGUCAUCCUCAGUGGGAGAACAGGUUUCCAAUUUCAUCAGCUGGACCCAAGUUGUGUGUGUGAGUACUUGGUUUAAAAUAUUAGAGAAAAUGCAGCCUUUCCAGGGCAGCGCUUUUUCUGGGUAGACCAAUAGCCAACAACUCGCCUAUGAUUUUGGCUAUUUUUGUUCCUGGCUGGCUCACACCACUCGUAUCUAACUCAACCCCUUUAGAUAUUCUUCCAGGUGGAAUUAUUGGAUUCGGUCAGAAUGGGGGAGGGGCCACUAUGCCCUUAAGAGGCUCAGAAGUGCCUACCUGGCUAAGGUCGCGGAACACGCGUGCAGGCGAUGAGACUGAGCCUUCGGGUCCCUCAGUGUGAAUUGUCCAUGGGGGCGCGGUGGGGACACACACUAGUGCGCUGGCUUCGGGCAGCUGAAGGAGGUAGUCUCCGAGAGUUUUUAGAGUCCCCUCCAAGGGAAAGCUUGGAAAAAAGAGAAAUGGAGCGGAGAGAGCACGUGGGCUACCAGCGACCACCCUCACCUUAAACCUAACCCACCUGUCCCUGUCAACGCCACCCUAACAAAUCAGGGCAGAAGGUGAGCCGCGACAGCCUGACCCGAAGCGCGCUGCAGACCUAGGCUGGUGCCUUCCCCUUGGGGCCAGGGCUGUGCGUGGGGGACAAGGCCGCUGCUCUCCCUAGGGCCGCUGGCUAAGAAGGAAAUACCUGACCUGGCCCCACCAAGAAAGUGGAGCUCCUCCACCCCCAGUUCUGCUGGAGACACUAGAAGCCAGGGCCCCUCUCUCUGCCGCGGGAAGUUCUAGCGACAAGCCCAGAAAGUGACGUCCUCUCUACCUGGCACCCCUCCUCAGAGCGCGCGGGUGAAGAGUUUGGGUCCGAAAACCAAAGCCAAGACCCCAGGAAGCGAAGAAGGAGACAGGAGGUGUCUGAAGCAAGAAGGGCACUGGAGAAUCGGCAGCAGGGCCUAGGCCGCCUCCGAACCAGGAUCCAAGGCCUGCGCCAUCUGCCCUGUGCGGGAAGCGCGGGGCCUGGGAGGCAGGGAGCGCUCACACCUGCGGUCGGGCAGGAGGCGCAACGCGCUGCCAGGGCGGCUUUAUCCUGCCGCCACAGGGCGGGGACCAGCCCGGCAGCCGGGUGUCCAGCGCCGCUCACGUGCCUCGCCUGGAGCUUAGCUCUCAGACUCCGAAGAGGGCGACUGAGACUUGGGCCUGGGAGUUGGCUUCGGGGUACCCAAGGCGACGACAGCUGAGUUGUACCACGAAGCUCAGGCCGAGGCCUCCUCCCUUGUCUGGCCUUCGAAUCCAUACUGGCAGCCUCUCCUCUCAGGCACUCCGCGGGCCGGGCCACUAGGCCCCCUGCUCCUGGAGCUGCGCUAUGAUCCGGGUCUUGAGAUGCGCGCGAUUCUCUCUGAACCGGUGGAGAGGAGGCUCUGCCCCGCGCGGAGCGAGGACAGCGGCGCCCGAGCUUCCCGCGCCUCUCCAGGGCCCAAUGGCAAGAACAGCCUCCGAAGUGCGCGGAUGACAGGAAAAGAUCUUCAGUUCUUCUGCCGCUAGAGAAGUGCGGGAUACAAGCCUCUAUUGGAUCCACAACCUGGAGUCCUGCCUUCGGACUUUGCCAAAGACUUGCAGGCGGUGGGGAGGCAGUAGGAAAUGAAGCCCCCUCCAGCCUCAGCCGCCGCCGCGUUCGGUGCAGCAGCAGCAGUGCCACUGCCACAGAGCAGAGGAAGGCCCGCUCCGCGCGAGUUCUGUGCCAGGUGUCCCGUUGGCCCUCAGCGGACAAGGGAGAGCCGCUAAUAAGGGUCGCUGCUCAGCAAACUCAGAGCUCAUCCAUAAGUGCCAACGCCACUGCUUCUUUCUGGAAGCUUCCACUCCGGCCCGGGGUCCGGCCCCAGCCACGCUGUCCUAGCCCAGAGAACAGGUUCAAGAACGGUGGUGCCCAGCCCCAGCGGUGCCCUUCUCCGUCCCUGUAGCUCGCUGGGCUCUUGAGCCCCUACCCACUAAGCCAAAAAUUCGGGAACCGGGAGCCAAACCCCUUGGCCUCUGAGAAUUUAGGAAGCUUCGUUUUCAGCCAAGAGGUCAAGGCGAGCAGAGAGUGGGGACUCGAACAAUCGCGUGUUUAGGUUUAAAACGUUAAAAAAUAAACAUCACUCGAGUGUUUUUUUUUUUUUUCAUUUCACUUGGCACAAUGCUG